GACGAACGCUGGCGGCGUGCCUAAUACAUGCAAGUAGAACGCUGAAGAGAGGAGCUUGCUCUUCUUGGAUGAGUUGCGAACGGGUGAGUAACGCGUAGGUAACCUGCCUUGUAGCGGGGGAUAACUAUUGGAAACGAUAGCUAAUACCGCAUAACAAUGGAUGACACAUGCCAUUUAUUUGAAAGGGGCAAUUGCUCCACUACAAGAUGGACCUGCGUUGUAUUAGCUAGUAGGUGAGGUAAUGGCUCACCUAGGCGACGAUACAUAGCCGACCUGAGAGGGUGGUCGGCCACACUGGGACUGAGACACGGCCCAGACUCCUACGGGAGGCAGCAGUAGGGAAUCUUCGGCAAUGGGGGCAACCCUGACCGAGCAACGCCGCGUGAGUGAAGAAGGUUUUCGGAUCGUAAAGCUCUGUUGUAAGUCAAGAACGGGUGUGAGAGUGGAAAGUUCACACUGUGACGGUAGCUUACCAGAAAGGGACGGCUAACUACGUG
rnacentral:rRNA from 1 species